rnacentral:rRNA from 1 species
CCUACGGGAGGCAGCAGUCGGGAAUUUUGGGCAAUGGGCGAAAGCCUGAUGGAGCAACGCCGCGUGCAGGAUGAAUGCCUUAGGGUUGUAAACUGCUUUUAUAUGUGAAGAUUUUGACGGUAACAUAUGAAUAAGGAUCGGCUAAUUCCGUGCCAGCAGCCGCGGUAAU